CGCCGCCCUCGGGCUCCCAGGCCCAGCCCGCCAGGCCUCGUGCCCUCGGUUCCCGAGGGGGUCGCCGGACGACCGGGCCCGGGGGCUGCGGGCCCAGAGGCGCAGGGGGCGUUCGCCCGCCCUUCCCGCGCCCAGGUUUUCGGGGGGUCCGCAGGCUCAUCCCGGGAUCUCCAGGGAGCUAAGGGGAGCAGACGGCGCCGAACCCAAAACCAACCCUGCGACCCUGUAGGACGGAGUAGAGCUGCCCCUUAGGGUUCCCAAGGCUGUAAUCGUGACAGAAGCAGACUGCCACAUCUUCCUCCUGUGCAGCGGCUGGUGGGUUCGAACUGCGGACCUUUAGGCUAGCAGCCGAGCUCUUUAAGCGCUGCGCCACUAGGGCUCCAGCAGACGCCACCAAAAACCAAACCUGUUGCCCUCGACUCGAUUCCGACUAACGGUGACCCUACAGAGUAGAACAGCCCUGUAGGUUUUCUAAGGAGCGGCUGGUGGAUUCGAACUGCUGACGUUCAGGACUGAGCGCGAGCUGUCUUGAAGCUUAGUUUCUCUGAUGCACGUAGCAGAGCUCCGUGGAGCAUACACGAUUUUCUUUGCAGAAUACUCUUUGAUGAGUAAAUACAGGCUUUGUAGCGCCCCUUCAUGACAAGUUUUCAAGCCUUGCUGCUCUGUGAAUGGCGUCCCGCGGGAACCUAGAACUUAAAACCUGAUGAUGUCUGCAUUUUAACCCUUUUCGUGAACCAGUUAUUUUAUGCUUUGAAUUUUUUGUUGAUCCCAUGUGUGUUUUCAUUAAUGGAAGCAUGCUGAAUCCUUGUGUCUGAGUUUUUGGUCAGUAGCAUGAAUUUUUUUUCUUGCCUCCUUCUACAAGCCUACCCUAAGUGUUUAGUGGUACUAUGAAGUACCACUAGUUAUACACCAGAGUCCCCACCAGGGUCUGUUGGUACUAUGUGUAACGAAUGAAAAUAUUCAAAAUUUCUGUUUUUCCUACCAAAAAUUCAGAUGCCUCAUACAAUACCCUGUGCCCGUUUCUUCAGUUUCACACAGUCAUAAAAGCCCUUUCCUUGGGCAGCAGCUUCCCCAUAAACCCCAGAGGCAGAAGAUGUACUUGGUCCCUAGAGGUACCGGUGAACAUGAAAGGGUUAACUUUUUUCCCUUCACUUUAGAUAGAAAUGAAAGAAAAGAAAAACUCUCUGAGAUUCAGUUUCUUUGUAAAAUGGAAAUAAUAACAUGUGCCUGCAAUGUUGGUAAGUUGCCUCAUAGAGUAAAAAAAAAAGUAGUGGUUAUUAAUUGGUAGUAGUAUUUUUUAUCAAAAUCAAAAGAAAGAAUAAAUUUAAUUGGUUAACCUGAUAGUGUCUUAAAAUUGAAAUGUCAAAAGACAGGCAGAACUCCUUUCUCUUACAAACCUGUAGAAACUGUCUUUCUCCUCCUUAUCGUUCCUGCGGAUCAUUAACUUGAGUCUGAGUGGACUCAAUGGCAAUGGGUUUCUUUUUUUUCCCCUAACCAUUAACAUUAUAAUGAAAAGUUGAAGGUUGUAGAGAUGCACCUCAUAUUCCUUGGAUUAGUUCAGGCCAUGAUUUUUUUCUUCUUCUUCUUUGUGUUGAAAACAGAUUGUCAUGUUUUUGCCCUUUGAAAUGAAAUGCUCAGUGACAGCUAUAGUUAAUAAGUGUUCGUUUAAAAAAAGGAAAAAGAGAAACUUAAUUUCUCAGUAAGGCAGAUUAUGUAGAAAAAAGUAGUUCCAAACUUUGCCUGCUUUUGUAGAAAAACCUUGUGCUAAGGAUUCUAAAAAAAAAAAAAAAAAAAAGGAUUCUACUCCUCCUUUAAUUACCAGUAAGUUAUGAUUUUCAUAACUUUGAACAAGAAAUCAUUUCAUAGAUUGAAAAUGACAAUUUCUGGACAAUCAGGUGUUUGGCUUCAAAAUGGGCAUUAAAAAAAAAAAUUUAAUGAGUGCCCUAACUACUUUUCAAAAUAACCCUCCAAAGGAAAGAGGAUUGACCUGCUCUUAUUAAUUAAAGUUUAAAGUUCUUGGGAACAGACUUUCCAUGGUAACUCUGACAGUAAUUAUCUCCUGCUUUCCUGCAUUUUUAUUUGGGGGACUUACUACUUCAUAUCACAUUUUCUCCUUGUUUUAUAGCACACCCCACUAUUUUUCUCUUCAUGUUAUUGUUGCUAGGUGCUAUCAAGUCAGUUCCAACUCAUAGCCACCCUGUGCACAACAGAGUGAAACACUGCCCAGACCUAUGCCAUGCUCACAGUUGUUGCUUUCCUUCAACCCAGUGUUGCAGCCACUGUGUGAGUCCAUCUUGUUGAGGGUCUUCUUUUUUGCUGACCCUCUACUUUACCGAGCAUGAUGUCUUUCUCCAGGGAUUGAUCCCUCCUGAUAAAACAUGUCCAAAGUGUACGAGACAAAGUCUUGCCAUCCUUGCUUCUAAGGAGCAUUCUGGUUGUACUUCUUCCAAGGCAGAUGUGUUUGUUCUUUUGGCAGUCCACGCUAUAGUCAAUAUUCUUCACCAACACCACAAUUCAAAGGCGUCAAUCCUUCUUUGGUCUUCCUUAGUCAUUGUCCAGCUUUCACAUGCUUACAAGGGGAUUGAAAGCACCAUGGCUUGGGUUGGGCACACCUUAGUCCUCAAGGGGUUGUCUUUGCUUUUUAACACUUUAAAGAGAUCUCUUGUAGCCAGUUUUCCCAAUGCAGUGUGUCUUUUAAUUUCUUGACUGCUACUUCUAUGGGUGUUGAUUGUGGCUCCAAGUAAAAUGAAAUCCUUGACAACCUCAGUCUUUUCUCCGUUCUUCUCUUCAUGCUUUUCUCUUAGUCUCUCAUAUCUUCGUGAUGCGUAACCCCUGGAAUCAAAUGUUUUUUGCUAUGCAAUAAAAAUUAAUUGUAAUACAGCUAGUCAAUUUUAAAAUACCUUUCUCAACUCACUAAAUUAAGAUAUUUUCCCUUGAAGCAAACAUCCUUUUCAUAUCAGAUAUGCGGCAAAAUUGUGUAAAGUUUAGGUUGUUUGAGAACAUUGUGGUUGGAAGGAUGGAUUAGUUCUGAAAGUAUAAAAUGUAUUUAGGAAACAAAAUAUUAGUUUUAUGUAUCUCUUCUUAACACGAUCACCUGAAGAGUACUUCUAAUAUGAUAACACUUGAGCUCUAAGAAACAAUCUGGAGGUUUAAGUUAGAACAAAAAUUAUAAGCACUUAUAACUUGUGGAAGCAUGAGGCAGAGCCAUUCUCUGUCUUUAGAACAGCUUUUCCAUCAUGUGGCUUGUGAUGACUGUCACAAUUAGGAAAAUGUAUGACAGGUGGUAAACAAGAUGACGACUUCGUGCUAAUUUGCACUGAUAUUCUCUCUUUUUGCACACAGUCUAGCUGCUCUGCAGAGAACAGUGGGCUCCAGAAUUACUGGAAAGAGGCUAUUGGGCCACAUGUGUUUAAGGAAGGGAAAUUAACGAGAAUGCUGUAGAGUGCAGGUGUGCCUCGUGUAAAGUAAAUCAUGUGCAGAACUCUGAACGUUUGUUCAUAUAUUCACCCAACUGAUGUGUAGGGAGCACCCAGGGAGUGAGUGUCAGCAACUCCUUCAGACACUGUAAUAAAUAAAACAGUAAGUAAAACACGAAACUGUCUUCCCUCAUGGCACUUACACUCUGCUGGUGUAGUUCAGAGUAGCCCUUGAGUUAGGGUAGUGAUUACUGAUAAUAGAAAUGGGUCAGGACUCGUGUAAGGGAGCCAUGCUGUUUAUAUCAGAAGAAAGAUAGUCUGUCACAGACCAAGAACACGUGAAACGGCAGGAUGGCUGGCCGUCCAAAGUAAGUUUUUUCCUGAAAGUAGGUUGCUUCUGCUAAGAUAAUAUAGCCUGCUAAUAUAACAAUUUCCUCUAUCACAAUGUGUGGAAAAACUCUCCAGGAUUAAUGGGAAGAAUGUUUUGUCUCUGAAGCAACAUGAUUGAGUAAGAAGCACUCUUUUUUUUUUUUUAAGUGCUGCAUUUUAUACUGAAAAAAUGUAUGAACAGUAAUAGGUGAUGACUUCUGGACCUUUUCAAGAGCCUCUGUGAGUUUAACAUGCAGCACUGACAGUGAGGUACUCUCUACAAUUUAAGUGAAUCAUAUGAAAGAUAUAUUUUAAGUAGCAAUUCAGGUAGCUUCCAUUUUACUUGGAGAUUGGAUGAAUACUGGAAACACUGGUGGCACAGUGGUUAAGUGCUAUGGCUGCUAACCAAAAGGUCGGCAGUUUGAAUCCACCAGGCGCUCCUUGGAAACUCUGUGGGGCAGUUCUACUCCGUCGUGUAGGGUCGCUAUGAGUCAGCAUCGACUCUUCGGCAGUGGGUUUGGUUUUUUUGUUUGUUUGUUUGGAUGAAUAUCUGAUACAUGGCAAAACCAAAUCCUUUGCCAUCAAGUCGAUGCUGACUCAUAGCGACCCUAUAGGACAGAGUAGAGCUGUCCCAUAGGGUUUCCAAAGAGCAGCUGGUGGAUUUGAACUGCCGACCUUUUUGGUUAGCAGCUGAGCUCUUAAUCACUGCUCCACGAGGGCUCCCUCAGAUAUAUAGUUAAAUGCUAGAUCAAAUAGGGACUGUGGUAGGCAUUCAGAGGAGCCAGUGAUCAAAGGAGCCUGGAGCAGAGCCCGCGUGUUUUGAACUAGGAAGGAUAUUAGGAACUACGUAAGGGUAUGUAUCUGCUUCGCGGCUCAGCUGCCCUCAAUAGAUCGUGUACUUCUGGAGGAAGGCAGUUAUCAUUCUGACUCCAGUCUCUUGCACAGUGCUACUCAGUUAAUUGUUGGAAUGAAUGACUCUAAUCCAAUGUCUGCCCAGUUCAGCAAUCCUGCAAUAUCCCAAACAGAUGGUUCUCUAGCGCCUUUCUGAACACCUUCUAUGAUGGUUAAGGUUAUGUGUCAAUUUGGCUAGACCAUGAUUCUCAGUGGUUUGGUAGAUACUAUGUAAUCAUCCUCCAUUCUUUGAUCUGGUAUGAGCAGCCAGCCAGUUGAAAGGGGAGUUUUCUUGGAAGUGUGCCCUGCAUCCAGUAUAUAUGGAUGUUCUGGCAAAGUUCACUCUCUCUCAGUCCUACAUCCCACUCGUCAUACUCUGGCCUCCAGUUCUUGGGAGGUGAGCCAGCCGCCUGCUGCCUGACCUGCGGUUUUUGGGAUUUACCAGCUCCCGCGACCCUGUGAGCCAACAGCCUUCUGCCUGGUCUGCUGAUUUUUGGGUUCAUCAGCCCCUGCAACCACAUGAGUCAGGAGAAGCCUCCAGCCUGACACUUGACCCACGGAUUUGGGACUUCCCAGCUUCCACAACUGUCCUUGCAUCUUAUGGAGUGGAUUGUGGUCAACAAGAAGUACUCCCUUUUGUUGAUGCUGUCCAUGGUGCUGAAUCCAGCCAGCAUUCGUGAAACAGUGGUGGACGUGGUAGGGGUGUGUGUGUUUGCCCAGUUAUACCCUUGAACUUACACUGCCAGCAGCAGUUCCUUUUGAAGUCUCACAACUAAAGGUGAUCAAGGCCAACAUCAACAGUCAUAAAUAACGUUAACAGCAUGUACUGUUGAUGUGAUGUGAUGAAGAUGGCACUUCACCUCCAUGAUCUUCCUCCUAAAAACCCGUAACCCCAGUCUGGUCACGAGAGAAACAUCAGACACAACCUGUAGAGGGGCAUCCUGCAAUGUACCUGACCAAUACAGCUCGAAACUGUCCAGGUCAUCAGAAACAAAACAAGUUUGAGGAACUGUCACAGCGAAGAGAGUCUUAAGAGACAUGACAGCUAAAUAUAAUAUGGUAUCCCGGAUUGGAUCAUGGAACAGAAAACGGGACGUUAGCUAAACAGUAAGAAAAUCUGAAUGAAUGAUGGACUUCAGUUAGUAAUAAUGUAUCAAUAUUUGUCCGAUAGUUAUGAUAAGUGUAACUAAUGCUACAAAUUAAUUGUAAUAAAUUGCUACUAAUUUAGGAUAUUAAUAAUAGGAUAAACUGGGGAUUCAUUUGAGGACUCUGUACUGUCUGUAUCUUUAGAGUAGUUUUAGAUUUACAGAAAAAUUAUCUACUGAAAAAAGUAAUUAUUGGUGUUUUAAUUUUGCUUUUUAAGGUUUGCUCUUCAAAACUUAUUUUAAGAUAUUUUUAAAAGACUUUAUGCUCUAAAUUAUGGUAGCUGAAAGUGUUAGACAUGAUAUGUGUCAGCAAAAUUAUUUUUUAGUGUCCGAAUAUUUGGUUUAAAUUGGAUUAAGAUUUAUUAGUUAAUAUUUUCUUUUUUUUUAUUCUUAUUGAAGACAGAAACUCCCACUUCAUAAUGGAAUAUCCAUAAUGACAUCUGUUCAAAAUAGUCUGUUCUGGUGCCUUUUUACGAUAAACCUAAUAAAUAAUUCAUGGAUCAUGGAUAAUAUGACAUAAAAUGAACAUUUGCUAAUAUUUAAUAUCAAAGUCAUUCCUUACUUGUCAAAGAGUAAUUGUGUAUCACAUGCUCGUUUUUCUGUAGUGAUUUUUAUAACACAUAUCAGGUGUGGGAAUGAACUGUUUGAACUCAUUCAUUUAGUGAACAUCUAUGGAACAAGUGCGUAAAAUAGAACACGUGUGCUGUUGAGAAGUGGCUAGAUGCCAGGGAUAUCCUCAAGAAGUGUAUGGACUUGUAGGGAAAAGAUGUGUUUUUUUGCGUAUGAGGUUUUAUGACAUAGAAGAUGAUGGUGAGUCCCUGGGUGGUGCAUAGGGUUAAGCACUCAACUACCAGCUGAAAGGUUGGCGGUUCAAACCUACUCAGAAGGGCCUCAGAAGACAGGCCUGGCGAUCUGCUUCCGAAAGGUCACAGCCUUGAAAACCCUACGAAGCAGUUCUACUCUGCCUACAUUGGGCAGCCAUGAGUCGGAAUUGACUUGACGACAACUAGCAACAACAGUGUAAGCUGGCACUGGAGGAGCCGUGGUGGUUCCGUGGUAGCGUCCUCACCUUCCACGCAGGAGGCCCGGGUUCUUUUCUGGGCCGGUACACUCAGGUACAAUCACCACCUGUUUGUCACCGGAGUCUUGCGUGGUGCUGUGAUGUUAAAGAGGCUUCAGUAGAGCUUCCAGACUAAGACAAAGAAGAAAUGCCUGGCCAUCUACUUCCAAAAAAUUAGCCAAUGACUAAGCCAUGAUUUCCAGUUUUGUGUGGUUGCCCUCCAUUUUGUGAUCUUACAUAACUAUCCUAUGUGUUGUAAAUCCUACCUCUAUAAUGUUAAUGAGGCAGGAUUAGGGGCAGUUAUGUUAAUGAGGAAGGACACAAUCUACAGGAUUAGAUUGUAUCUUGAGUCAGUCUCUUUUGAGAUAUAAAAGAAUCAAGCAGGGAUGGGGGACUUCCUACCACCAAGACAGAAGAGCCAGGAGCAGAGUGCAUCCUUUGGACCCGGGGUCCAGAUGCUGAGAAACUCCUAGACCCAGGAGAAGAUUGGUGACAAGGACCUUCACCCAGAGCGGACAGAGAGAGAAAGCCUCCCCUGGGAAUGGAGCCCUGAGUUUGGACUUCUAGCCUCCUAAACUGUGAGAGAAUAAAUUUCUAUAUGUUAAAGCCAAAAAAAGAAAAUCGGCCAAUGAAAAAAACCCUAUAGUCACAGUUGUGCAUGGGGACAUGAUGAGUUGAGGGCUAGCUUGAUGGCAGCUAACAACAACAAUAUAAGGUGGAAAUCACUUUAGCCACUUGGGUUUACAUGAUAUUUAAAUCAAUUUUGCUUAGGAUAAUGAAUAGUUUUCUGUUCGUUUUAGUUUUUUGGACUAUUAAUACUUAAUCAUCAAUUUAAAAAGUAGAAAAAAAUUCUUUCCCGUUUGAUGACCCAUGAAAACUGUGCAAACAUUCUUGACCUUUGUGAAUUAGCACAUCUGCAUACAUACAGAUUCUUCCCCGUUCCCACCCUCCUAAAAAUAACUUGGGACUUAAAUAAAAUACUAAAAGUUUUAUAUUUACGUUGCAUUUGCAUUUAAAUUUAUUGUAAAAAUUUGAACAUACAGGCUAUUUUCCUGCGUUCUUAAAUUGUUUCAAUGUUGUUUGUUGUAACUCAGUUUGUUAUUUUGAAUAUAAUGUUCAUAAUCUUAUGUAUCUUUAUAUGGUUAUCAGCAUGGUGUAGGUGGUGUAGUGCUUCUGGCGUAGGUUACUAUUUGUGUUACCUGCACUUCUAUUGAGAUGUCUUCUUGUCUUCAAGGAUACCCAAGAAGUUCCUCCCACCCCAGCUGCUCAGUUGUCAGUUUUUAAGCAGAGAUCUGAUUUAAGACUUCUGCCAUAGCAGUGAGCAUACCUAGUGAUCAAAUGCUGGUUUCCAAAUACAAGGGCUCCUCGGAGAAGUGGUUCAUUCAAGUUCUGGAACAGAGCUUAUCCAAGAUGAUCCUCAGAUAUCUUGUGGUGCCAGAAAGUAGCCAUGUGCUCACAAAAGGAUGGGGGACUGUUCAUGGAACACAGGAACCAACCUGAAGGAGCUUCCAAUGGCCAAAGCUGGAAGAAUUUGGGCAGCUAAAUAAAUAACGAUAGUAUUGGAUUAUAACCCAUGGUCUAAAAUAAGUAUGAAUCCAUACUGACACAUAAAUGAAUGAGUGGAGGAAAAGGGACAACUCCUUUUGUAGAAGAAUUCCAGUUAAAAAUGGAGAAGGAACUAGGGAAAGAGAAAAUCACCAAAGUAAUGAUCAGUGUAGGCAGAAUCUUACCAUAGACCCUAAUGUUCUUGUCAUUAGUCCCCUUCAAGUUGAUUCCAACUUAUGGCGACCCCAUGCAUGCAGAGUAGAGCUGCUUCACGGAGCUUUCAAGGCUUUGACCUUUCAGAAGCAGAUCACAAGUUCUGAUCACCUCUGGAUGGGUUCAAACCACCCACCUUUCAGCAAGUAGUCAACCAUUUACUCUUUGUGCCACCCAGGCUCAUGCUAAUAUUAGUAGGUGAAAAUCUGAGGAAGAACAGGAUGUUUGCAUACUUUAAAGUAUUUCCCCAUAGGUAUUUAUUAAUCACACUGACAAAAAUAGUAGCUUUGCAGUGGAGAAACCCAGCAGACGCCACCCUGACCAAAACAUCCAGGUUAACAUCAGUAAUAAGUCAUAGCGACAUCAUGAAACCCUUGCUAUAAGGCAUUAAGAAGGACACAGCACCACUUUUGUGGUUUUCUUGUGAAAAAUAGUAAUUUCUAAUCACAAGAAAACAUGAAACCCAAGUUAAGGAUAUUUCUACAAAAUAACUGACUUCAGAAGUAUCAAGGUCGGUUAAACCGGGGGCCAAGAUGGCGGACUAGGUGGACACUACCGCGGAUCCCUCUUGCAACAAAGACUCGGAAAAACAAGUGAAUCGAUCACAUACAUAACAAUCUACGAACUCUGAACAAGAAACACAGACUUAGAGACGGAAAACGAACAAAUACGGGCAGACAGCGACCUUUUUCAGAACUAGGAGCCAGCGUACCAGGCGGCUCCAUUAACAUCCGAAUACCCUGAGCCAGAGGGAGAAUUCAGAUAGGGAUCUGACUGCAUUUUUUUAUAGCUGAUUACCUGGAAAAUCUAGUUUCCCAGUGAUGGCUCGGAGACAGCAGUCCAUAUCAAACGACAUAAAGAAACAGACCAUGACAGCUUCUCCAACCCCCCAAACAAAAGAAUCAAAAUCUUUCCCAAAUGAAGAUAACAAUCCUGGAAUUAUCAGAUACAGAAUAUAAAAAACUAAUUUACAGAAUGCUUAAAGAUAGCACAAAUGAAAUUAGGAUAACUACAGAAAAAGCCAAGGAACACACUGAUAAAACUGUUGAAGAACUCAAAAAGAUUAUUCAAGAACAUAGUGGAAAAAUUAAUAAGUUGCAAGAAUCCAUAGAGAGACAGCAUGUAGAAAUCCAAAAGAUUAACAAUAAAAUUACAGAAUUAGACAACGCAAUAGAAAGUCAGAGGAGCAGACUCGAGCAAUUAGAAUGUAGACUGGGACUUCUGGAGGACCAGGGAAUCAACACCAACAUAGCUGAAAAAAACUCAGAUAAAAGAAUUUAAAAAAAUGAAGAAACCCUAAGAAUCAUGUGGGACUCUAUCAAGAAGGAUAACUUGCGAGCGAUUGGAGUCCCAGAACAGGGAGGGGGGACAGAAAACACAGAGAAAAUAGUUGAAGAACUCCUGACACAAAACUUCCCUGACAUCAUGAAAGACGAAAGGACAUCUGUCCAAGAUGCUCAUCGAACCCUAUGUAAGAUUGAUCCAAAAAGAAAAACACCAAGACAUAUCAUCAUCAAACUUGCCAAAACCAAAGACAAACAGAAAAUUUUAAAAGCAGCCAGGGAGAAAAGAAAGGUUUCCUUCAAGGGAGAAUCAAUAAGAAUAAGUUCAGACUACUCAGCAGAAACCAUGCAGGCAAGAAGGGAAUGGGACGACGUAUACAGAGCACUGAAGGAGAAAAACUGCCAACCAAGGAUCAUAUAUCCAGCAAAACUCUCUCUGAAAUAUGAAGGAGAAAUUAAGAUAUUUACAGAUAAACACAAGUUUAGAGAAUUUGCAAAAACUAAACCAAGACUGCAGGAAAUGCUAAAGGAGAUUGUUUGGCCGCAUGACCAAUAAUAUCAGGUACCAGCACAGUACAAGGUCACAAAACAGAACGUCCUGAUAUCAACGCAACUCAAAUAGGGAAACCACAAAAACAAACAAAUUAAGAUUAAUUCUAAAAAAUAAAUAAAUAAACAAAAUAAUACACACAACAGGAAAUCAUGGAAAUCAAUAGAUAAACGAUCACAAUAAUCAAAAAGAGGGACUAAAUAUAGGAGGCAUUGAACUGCCAGAUGGAGAGUGAUACAAGGCGAUAUAGAAUGAUACAAGUUAGGUUUUUACUUAGAAAAAUAGGGGUAAAUAAUAAGGUAACCAUAAAAAGGAAUAUCAAUUCCAUAACUCAAGAAAAAAGCCAAGAAAAACGUAACGACUCAACAAACAUAAAGUUAACCAUUAUGAAAAUGAGGAUCUCACAAGCUGCUAAGAAAAACAUCUCAGCACAAAAAAGCAUGUGGAAAAAUGAAAUGGACAACAACACACAUGAAAAGGCAUCAAAAUGACAGCACUAAAAACUUAUUUAUCUAUAAUUACGCUGAAUGAAAAUGGACUAAAUGCACCAAUAAAGAGACAGAGAGUCACGGACUGGAUAAAGAAACACGAGCCAUCUAUAUGCUGCCUACAAGAGACACACCUUAGACUUAGAGACACAAACAAACUAAAACCCAAAGGAUGGAAAAAAAUAUAUCAAGCAAAUAAUAAGCAAAAAAGAAGAGGAGUAGCAAUAUUAAUUUCUGACAAAAUAGACUUUAGACUUAAAUCCACCACAAAGGAUAAAGAAGGACACUAUAUAAUGAUAAAAGGGACAAUUGAUCAGGAAGACAUAACCAUAUUAAAUAUUUACGCACCCAAUGACAGGGCUGCAAGAUACAUAAAUCAAAUUUUAACAGAAUUGAAAAGUGAGAUAGACACCUCCACAUUUAUAGUAGGAGACUUCAACACACCACUUUCGGAGAAGGACAGGACAUCCAGUGAGAAGCUCAAUAGAGACAUGGAAGACCUACUUACAACAAUCAACCAACUUGACCUCAUUGACUUAUACAGAACUCUCCACCCAACUGCUGCAAAAUAUACUUUCUUUUCUAGUGCACAUGGAACAUUCUCUAGAAUAGACCACAUAUUAGGUCAUAAAAAAAAUCUUUGCAGAAUCCAAAACAUCGAAAUAUUACAAAGCAUCUUCUCAGACCACAAGGCAAUGAAGCUAGAAAUCAAUAACAGAAAAACUAGGGAAAAGAAAUCAAAUACUUGGAAACUGAACAAUACCCUCGUGAAAAAAGACUGGGUUAUAGAAGACAUCAAGGAGGGAAUAAGGAAAUUCUUAGAAAGCAACGAGAAUGAAAAUACUUCCUAUCAAAACCUCUGGGACACAGCCAAAGCAGUGCUCAGAGGCCAAUUUAUAUCGAUUAUUGCACACAUACAAAAAGAAGAAAGAGCCAAAAUCGGAGAACUGUCCCGACAACUUGAACAAAUAGAAAAUGAGCAACAAAAGAACCCAUCAGGCACCAGAAGAAAACAAAUAAUAAAAAUUAGAGCUGAACUAAAUGAAUUAGAGAACAGAAAAACAAUUAAAAGAAUUAACAAAGCCAAAAGCUGGUUCUUUGAAAAAAUUGACCAAAUUGAUAAACCAUUGGCUAGACUGACUAAAGAAAAACAGGAAAGGAAACAAAUAACCCGAAUAAGAAACGAGAAGGACCACACCACAACAGAGCCAAAUGAAAUUAAAAGAAUCAUUUCAGAUUACUACGUAGAAUUGUACUCUAACAAAUUUGAAAACCUAGAAGAAAUGGAUAAAUUCUUGGAACAAUACUACCUACCUAAAAUAACACAUUCAGAAGUAGAACAACUAAAUAGACCCAUAACAAAAAAAGAGAUUGAAACGGUAAUCAAAAAACUUCCAACAAAAAAAAGUCCUGGCCCAGGCGGCUUCACUGCAGAGUUCUACCAAACCUUCAGAGAAGACUUAACACCAUUACUACUGAAGGUAUUUCAAAGCAUAGAAAAAGACGGAAUACUACCCAACUCAUUCUAUGAAGCUACCAUCUCCCUGAUACCAAAACCAGGUAAAGACAUUACAAAAAAAGAAAAUUUUAGACCUAUAUCCCUCAUGAACAUAGAUGCAAAAAUCCUCAACAAAAUUCUAGCCAAUAGAAUCCAACAACACAUCAAAAAACUAAUUCACCCUGAUCAAGUGGGAUUUAUACCAGGUAUUUUUUUUAAUAUCAGAAAAACCAUUAAUGUAAUCCAUCACAUAAAUAAAACAAAAGAUAAAAACCACAUGAUCUUACCAAUAGAUGCAGAAAAGGCAUUUGACAAAGUUCAACGACCAUUUAGGAUAAAAACUCUUACCAAAAUAGGAAUUGAAGGAAAAUUCCUGAACAUAAUAAAGGGCAUCUAUGCAAAGCCAACAGCCAAUAUCACUCUAAAUGCAGAGAACCUGAAAGCAUUUCCCUUGAGAACGGGAACCAGACAAGGAUGCCCUUUAUCACCGCUCUUAUUCAACAUCGUACUUGAAGUCCUAGCCAGGGCAAUUAGGCUAGACAAAGAAAUAAAGGGUAUCCAGAUUGGCAAGGAGGAAGUAAAGCUAUCACUAUUUGCAAAGGAAUCCUCCAGAAAACUACUGAAACUAAUAGAAGAGUUUGGAAGAGUCUCAAGUUAUAAAAUAAACAUACAAAAAUCACUUGGAUUCCUCUACAUCAACAAAAAGAACACCGAAGAGGAAAUAACCAAAUCAAUACCAUUCACAGUAGCCCCCAAGAAGAUAAAAUACUUAGGAAUAAAUCUUACCAAGGAUUUAAAAGGCCUAUACAAAGAAAACUAUAAAACUCUGCUACAAGAAAUUCAAAAGGACAUACUUAAGUGGAAAAACAUACCUUGCUCAUGGAUAGGAAGACUUAACAUAGUAAAAAUGUCUAUUCUACCAAAAGCCAUCUAUACAUAUAACGCACUUCCAAUCCAAAUACCAAUGUCAUAUUUUAAGGGGAUAGAGAAACAAAUCACCAAUUUCAUAUGGAAGAGAAAGAACCCCCGGAUAAGCAAAACGUUACUGAAAAAGAAGAAGAAAGUGGGAGGCCUCACUCUACCUGAUUUCAGAACCUAUUGUACAGCUACAGUAGUCAAAACAGCCCAGUACUGGUACAACAACAGGCACAUAGACCAAUGGAACAGAAUUGAGAACCCAGAUAUAAAUCCAUGCAUGUAUGAGCAGCUGAUAUUUGACAAAGGACCAGUGUCAGUCAAUUGGGGAAAUGAUAGUCUUUUUAACAAAUGGUGCUGGCAUACCUGGAUAUCCAUUUGCAAAAGAAUGAAACAGGACCCAUACCUCACACUGCACAAAAACUAACUCCAAGUGGAUCAAAGACCUAAACAUAAAGACUAAAACGAUAAAGAUCAUGGAAGAAAAAAUAGGUUGAACCCUAGGAGCCCUAAUACAGGGCAUAAACAGAAUACAAAACAUUACCAAAAAUGAUGAAGAGAAACCAGGUAACUGGGAGCUCCUAAAAAUCAAACACCUAUGCUCAUCUGAAGACUUCACCAAAAGAGUAAAAAGACCACCUACAGGCUGGGAAAGAAUAUUCAGCUAUGACAUUUCAGACCAGCGCCUGAUCUCUAAAAUCUACAUGAUUCUGUCAAAACUCAACCACAAAAAGACAAACAACCCAAUCAAGAAGUGGGCAAAGGAUAUGAACACACAUUUCACUAAAGAAGAUAUUCAGGCAGCCAACAGACACAUGAGAAAAUGCUCCCGAUCAUUAGCCAUUAGAGAAAUGCAAAUUAAAACUACGAUGAGAUUCCAUCUCACACCAACUAGACUGGCAUUAAUCCAAAGAACACAAAAUAAUAAAUGUUGGAGAGGCUGUGGAGAGAUUGGAACUCUCAUACACUGCUGGUGGGAUUGUAAAAUGGUACAACCACUUUGGAAAUCCAUCUGGCGUUAUCUUACACAGUUAGAAAUAGAACUACCAUACAACCCAGAAAUCCCACUCCUAGGAAUAUACCCUAGAGAUACAAGAGCCUUCACACAAACAGAUAUAUGCACACCCAUGUUUAUUGCGGCUCUGUUUACAAUAGCAAAAAGCUGGAAGCAACCAAGAUGUCCGUCAACGGAUGAAUGGGUAAAUAAAUUGUGGUAUAUUCACACAAUGGAAUACUACGCAUCGAUAAAGAACAGUGACGAAUCUCUGAAACAGUUCAUAUCAUGGAGGAAUCUGGAAGGCAUUAUGCUGAGCGAAAUGAGUCAGAGGCAAAAGGACAAAUAUUGUGUAAGACCACUAUUAUAAGAUCUUGAGAAAUAGAAAAAACGGAGAAGAACACAUACUUUUGUGGU